GCACAGCACGGUAGCAAUCCGGUGGGUGGCGAGUGGCGGACGGGUGAGGAAUACAUCGGAAUCUACCUUGUCGUGGGGGAUAACGUAGGGAAACUUACGCUAAUACCGCAUACGACCUACGGGUGAAAGCGGAGGACCGCAAGGCUUCGCGCGAUUGGAUGAGCCGAUGUCGGAUUAGCUAGUUGGCGGGGUAAAGGCCCACCAAGGCGACGAUCCGUAGCUGGUCUGAGAGGAUGAUCAGCCACACUGGAACUGAGACACGGUCCAGACUCCUACGGGAGGCAGCAGUGGGGAAUAUUGGACAAUGGGCGCAAGCCUGAUCCAGCCAUGCCGCGUGGGUGAAGAAGGCCUUCGGGUUGUAAAGCCCUUUUGUUGGGAAAGAAAAGCAGUCGGUUAAUACCCGAUUGUUCUGACGGUACCCAAAGAAUAAGCACCGGCUAACUUCGUGCCAGCAGCCGCGGUAAUACGAAGGGUGCAAGCGUUACUCGGAAUUACUGGGCGUAAAGCGUGCGUAGGUGGUUCGUUUAGUCCGAUGUGAAAGCCCUGGGCCUCAACCUGGGAAUUGCAUUGGAUACUGGCGGG
rnacentral:rRNA from 1 species